AGGCAAAAAUCGCCUUUGUGUUGCCGGUGUCCUUCUCCAAUUUUGACACUUCUUCAAUUUUUCGUUUUUUCUUUUAUUUAUUUAUUGUGUUUAUUCUUGAGAGAAAGAGAGAGAGAGAGAGCACGAGCUGGGGCAGAGACAGAGGGAGACAGAGGGAGAGAAAGAAUCCGAAGCAGGCUCCAGGCUCUGAGCUGUCAGCACAGAGCCCGAUGUGGGGCUCGAACCCACGUACUGAGAGAUCAUGACCUGAGCCAAUGUCAGAUGCCUAACCAACAGAGCCACCCAGGUGCCCGCUUCAAUUUUUCUGUGUGGACUCAACAAGGGAAGGAUGCCCAGGGAGUGUGGUUACCCAGAUCACAAGAAGACAAAGUUCUACUGUACUGUGAGAGAAUGUGAAAAGAAAGUUGCUUGUGGACUCAUGAUCGCAGAUUAUUUUCCCAUCUAUCCUACUUAUUCUUAUGAGCCAGAGCAAGUGGCUUGACCUGUGUGUUUCUCAAUAUUUUUAAAAGUUUUUUAAACGUUUAUUUAUUUUUGAGAGACACAGACAGAGCACGAGUGGGGGGAGGGGCAGAGAGAGAGGGAGACACAGAAUCGGAAGCAGGCUCCAGGCUCCGAGCUGUCAGCACAGCCCGACGCGGGGCUCGAACCCACGAACCAUGAGAUCAUGACCUGAGCCAAAGUUGGACCCUUAACCGACGGAGCCGCCCAGGCACCCCUCAAUAUUUUCAUCAGUAAAAGAGAGACACUGCCUUUUCCAGCUUAGCCUCAUCAUGGCUUGGUAAGGACUGGUUACAACAGCAUGAAGAACAGUGGAUUAGGAACCAAGAUCAGGUAGGUACGUCCUAGUCCAAGCUGCUAUUGACGGCUCUGGUGGCCUGACAUGCAUUGUUAUCUCCCCCAGCCUUGGUUUCCUCUUCUGGUGCUUGCCUUCCUUCAAGACACGACAGAAGCACCAGCAAGAACCCGUUCCCACGCUAAUACCAACAGAGCACUGCUUGCCUCUCCCCUAAUCCAAAUCCUUACUGAUCCUCAAGGCCUGCGGUAUCAAGGUUAAGGUUCCCCAUGAUAACAAGAUGGCUGGUCUGCAGUCAAACUGAGGUCUUCUUCCCCCCCUUAUGGGAUUUCUACAUGUAAUCCCUGUGGCCGGAAUACUUUGUAUUCCCAUCUCUGUCUGUUGAAAUACUUCCUCUCCUAUGAAAGCAGAUCUGAAUGCUGACUGCCUAGUCUUCCUUGGCCAUCCAGAAUGAUUUAUCCUCCCUCUGAGCUUCCAGAGAACCUGUCUGCACAUCUUUUCUGCUGCUUGAUACUACCUACCGAGUACUUCUUCACCGCUGUCUCCCUCCGAUGAUAGAUUAUAAACUCAGGGACAGCCAAGGCUUAGCCUUUUGAUCUGAACAACUUCCCAAUAAGAAGUGCACGAUAUGGGGAGAAUAAGUAUUUGUGGAAUAGUUCGUUUUGAGAAUAUGAUUCAAUUUAAGGUAUCCAACCUGUAUUUCUUCAUCUUUGCCCCAAGAAUGGCAUAUGAAACUGUUGGAUGCUUUGCAAAAAUAAGGAUUUAAAAAAUGCUUCUUGCAGGUGCAUCAUUAUUAAUAAGCACAGCAUAGAUAACAAAGGCCAUAUGUUGAAUCGUAUAUGAAAAUUUUUUAUGGCUCAGUUGGCUAAGCUUCUGACUCUUCGUUUUGGCUCAGGUCACGCUCUCACGUUUCAUGGAUUCGAGCCCCGCAUGGGGCUCUGCACUGACAGUGGGGCCCUGCUGGGGAUUCUCUCUCUCCUUCUCCCUCUGCCCCUUCCCCACUCGCACAUGCGCGCACUCUCUCUCUCAAAGUAAAUAAAUAAACCUAAAAAAAAUUAUGUCUUGUUUUGAGUAGGGCAAGCUUCUGCUUACCUGAUGUAGAAUCAUUACCUCUUUGUAACUUUCUUAAUCUUAUCCACUUUGAUUCUCUUUUUAUCUCUUCGGCUAAACAGAAUACCAUGCCCUGACACAUAUAAAGUGUUCAGUAAAUGUUUCUUGACCUAACGGGUGAAUGAGUUCAUUCAUUUUGCUUCUUGGAUCCAGAAAUUCCACGAGGUUGAUUAAGAGAAAAAUAUUUAUGUUUCUCAAUUGACUUAUUUAUUGUCUUACACAAUGGUUUUGGGGCCAGUUGCAACCAGACAGAUGAUAUAUUGUUACAUUAAGAAUACUAAGUACCCUGGGUCCAGGCACUUAUUGCUAGGGUCAAGAAACCUGAGAAUUAGAAGACUUAUUUUCAUGUUUACAAAACCAUGAACGAGAAGGAUAUAUAUUUGUGUGCCCAAAUCCAAUCCUUUUCAGUCCCGCUAAUCCUUAGGGGCACGUGUUCAUGUAUUUCAGGCUUUUAGGGACGGGGAGCUAUUUGGUAUAAGAAAGAUAGGGGCAGAAGUUAAAUCAGAGGCAAUCAGUGUUAACACCUUAGCAUUUGUUGAGGGUCUGAAGCCUUUCAGCUUGAGGCCUGAGACUCACACAGUAAUAUUUGCUACUUCUCAGUAGAGAAAAUAUACAUUCACGUCAGUGUUGUGUAAACAUGUAUAUAUAAUAUUCACAUUUCAUUUAAUUAUAUACGUUUCAAAAUUACAUAUGCAUAUAGAUGUGUUACACAGUAUGUAUCUGUGUAUACGUGUGUACGUAUAACCUUAAGUUCUACGUAAUUAUCCUCCUAAAUCAUUAACUUUUUUCUUUAAAUGUGUUUUGUCACUUCUGUUUUUUCGGUUUUUUAAUGUGUGUGUGUGAGAGAGAGAGAGAGAGCGAGCAGGGGAGGGGGGCAGGGGGAGAGAGAGAAAGAAGCUUGAGCAGGCUCCAUGCUUAGUGCAGAGCCCAUCUCGGGGCUCGAUCCCACAACCCUGAGAUCAUGACCAGAGCCGAAACCAAGAGUCGGAGGCUCAACCAACUGAGCCACCCAGGCGCCCUAGGAAUUAACAUUUGAAGACUGGGGAAAUUAAUUUCCCCUAGUGAUAAAUGGAAAAGCACUUGAUAACCAUUCAGGUCAAAAUUCUUCCUUUGAAAGGGUCUUUCUUUAUAUUCAAAGAAGCUCAGGUGAAAAAGAGAGGUUCUGGUAUGAAUAUAGAGAUCUCGCAGAAAGAGUGGAGACCCAUGCCCUAAAAGGGGGGGGGGGUGCCAUUAGUAAAUAAGACUGCCUCUCUCUCGAAGUUUAUUCCUCUGCCCUUACUCUCCGUGUCUCUCUCUUCCUCUUUAUUUUUCCAUUCCACCCUCUCCCCCGGCUUCUCUCUAUGACUCCCCUUUUUGCUCUGUGUGUCCCUCUUGCCAUGUUGUCCCUGCUCUCCACUUCUCGCUGUCUCGUUCUCCCCAGAGAAGGACUAACAGAACACCAGGCACCAGAAACCUGAAGAGACAUUUGACCUAUUCUCCCGAACACCCGCUGUUGUGCCUCGUGAAUAACUUUAAGCCAAACUUUAGCAACUCAGCUCUCAGGAAAUGUUAUUUGAAUCUGCUAAAACUCAUGGUCUGGGAUCAGAAAUAGCUAACAUUAGCUGUGAAUGAUGCAAAAUAGGUAACCAAGAAAGAUACGUUUGAGAAAUCUAUGCGUUUGAAAUGCCACAAUCUCUGCUUGCAUGUUUGAUUGGAUAAACUAAACCAUUUCACCUCGAGGAGUGGCAUCUUCAUUGAUUUACAGAGAACAUUUGGCAUUCUGUUCUGCUCAUGCAGGAGGUUGCCUCACAGUUGAUAUAGUUCCCCAGUAUUCCUUAAAUCCACAUUUUUCUUGAGCAGAAAUGAAGUCAAUUGGUACCUAACCUCUUAAAAAUUAGACAGUUAAGGUCCUAUUCAAUCUUUCCCAACUAACAAGCUUUCUCUUGCUUUUCCUCAUUUAAGAAAUCAUUUUUAAGCCUCCAGUGUAUUUAACUCUGUUUUGACAGUAUGUCAAUUUCUUACCUGUUUUGUGUUCAAUUCUGCAGGUGAUGACACCUGUAUUCAUUAGGUCUAUGGGACAAAUGACCAGUGUGCUGCUCAUUAAACACAAACACGGAUUGCACGCGGAAGUUUAAAUAAAACAGUGACAUUAGGGGCGCCUGGGUGGCUCAGUCCGUUAAGCGUCUGAUUCUUGGUUUCGGCUCAGGUUGUGAUCUCACGGUUCAUGCGUUCGAGCUCUGCAUCGGGCUCCAUGCUGACAGUGCAGAGCCUGCUUGGGAUUCUCUCUCUCUCUCUCUCUCUCUCUCUCUCUCUGUCCCUCCUCUGCUCACUCUUUUAUCUCUCUCUCUCUCUCUCUCUGAAAAUAAAUAAACUUGAAAUUUAAAAAAAAGACCGUGACAUUAAAUUCCUCCACCUGACUGUCUUUAAGAGCCAAGGAAGGGGGCGCCUGGGUGGCUCAGUUGGUUAAGCCUUGACUUCGGCUCAGGUCGUGAUCUCGCGGCUCGUGAGUUCGAGCCCUGUGUCUGUGCUGUCAGCUCAGAGCCUGGACCCUGCUUUGGAUUCUGCGUCUCCCUCUCUCUCUCUGCCCCUCUCAUACUCUGUCUCUCUCUCUCUCUCAAAAAUAAAAAACACACAUUAAAAAAAUUCUUUUAAAAAAGAGCCAAGGAAGAAUGAAACACAAUCCAGUAGCAGCGGGAAAGUUUAUAUGCGAAUUCUUUUUUUCCCAGGAGCUCCAAAAGGUCAGAGCACUUCCUGAGACACCCUUGAGAUUUGGACUCGUCCUUGGGGAAUGGAACAGCCCAGAUCUAGCCUUCUCUCUCUGUGUGUCUCUUUUCCCUAUCUUUGCCUUCUCCUCCUGCUUCUCUCUCUUUGGUUUCCAAUAUUCUCCCUCCUUUUUUGUCUGGCUCAUCUAUGCCCUCCUCUGACUCACUGGCAGCCACAAAUUCCUUCAAAGCAGUAAUAAUAAUAGUAUCAGCAAUAGGUUACUUGUACUGUUUGUUCACGUGUCGGGCGCUGCCCAACGCGCUUUCCAUGUAGUGCUUUACUUAAGGAGCGUAAUAAUUUUAGGGCUUCGAUACGAUAACAAUCUCUACUUUUCAGAAAAGGAAAGUGAGGUGAGGUAACGUGCUCAUGAAAUAAAAGACUACCGUGGUAGAUUUAUUUUUCUUUUAGCUCUCCGUCCUUCGGCUCUGCGAUGUGGGAGGAAAGGCGUCCCUUAGUGGGUCUUAUUUGGCUCAGCGUCUGUCUAUUCGAUGUGAGGCACAGAUGUGAGGUGGGCGGGAAGGAGAGGCGAAGGUACGUGAAACUCAGACCUUGAGCGCGAAGCCUGAACAGCCUCCUGGAGAAGACAGGCAUGUCAGGGAACAGCAACAACAAAAGGAUGAAGAAAGCUCUUCUCCCAUCACCAUCCAAAAAUCUUCAAGAGCAAGUACAGGGCAGUGUACCUCCCGUCUGAGGCAACCUGGGAGCUGGCUUUUGAAUGAUGGCAAACACUGAUUUUAAAUUAGGCAUGAAUAAAAAUGAUGAAAGACAGUACUUCCUGAGCUCUCAUUAUGUUCGACACCAGAAUCUGGAAGCUCCAUUAGGGCAGGAACCUUGACAGCUUUACUUACCGUUGUGACUUAUCGUACUGCCUGGAGUCUAAUAACGGCCCAAAAAUCAUCGAUAGAAAAAAAAAAGAAAGAA